rnacentral:tRNA from 1 species
AAGAUGUAGUGACUGAAUAAAAGCUGCUAACUUAUUAUUCAAGUGGUUUAAUUCCAUUUACAUCUUAC